AGGCGCGUGCGGAGCGCGGAAUCCACUUGUCCGGGUUUUGGCAAGGGAGGACGCGCAGAUUCCACAGGAGGAAAAUGUGCAGAGACUGAAGAAAGAGGACAUACUCAGGAUGACACAAAGUGCCACUUCCGGAACUUCUUGAUGGAGGAGUAACCACAGAUGGCUGCGGAUGU